rnacentral:rRNA from 1 species
AUUGAACGCUGGCGGCAUGCUUUACACAUGCAAGUCGAACGGCAGCGCGGGCUUCGGCCUGGCGGCGAGUGGCGAACGGGUGAGUAAUGCAUCGGAACGUGCCCAGUAGUGGGGGAUAGCCCGGCGAAAGCCGGAUUAAUACCGCAUACGACCUGAGGGUGAAAGCGGGGGACCGAAAGGCCUCGCGCUCUUGGAGCGGCCGAGGUCGGAUUAGCUAGUUGGUGGGGUAAAGGCUUACCAAGGCGACGAUCCGUAGCUGGUCUGAGAGGACGACCAGCCACACUGGGACUGAGACACGGCCCAGACUCCUACGGGAGGCAGCAGUGGGGAAUUUUGGACAAUGGGGGCAACCCUGAUCCAGCCAUGCCGCGUGCGGGAAGAAGGCCUUCGGGUUGUAAACCGCUUUUGUUCGGGAAGAAAUCCUCUGGGCUAAUACCCCGGGGGGAUGACGGUACCGGAAGAAUAAGCACCGGCUAACUACGUG